AGUGAACGCUGGCGGUAGGCCUAACACAUGCAAGUCGAACGGCAGCACAGUAAGAGCUUGCUCUUACGGGUGGCGAGUGGCGGACGGGUGAGGAAUACAUCGGAAUCUACUUUUUCGUGGGGGAUAACGUAGGGAAACUUACGCUAAUACCGCAUACGACCUACGGGUGAAAGCAGGGGAUCUUCGGACCUUGCGCGAUUGAAUGAGCCGAUUUCGGAUUAGCUAGUUGGGGGGGUAAUGGCCCACCAAGGCGACGAUCCGUAGCUGGUCUGAGAGGAUGAUCAGCCACACUGGAACUUGGACACGGUCCAGACUCCUACGGGAGGCAGCAGUGGGGAAUAUUGGACAAUGGGCGCAAGCCUGAUCCAGCCAUACCGCGUGGGUGAAGAAGGCCUUCGGGUUGUAAAGCCCUUUUGUUGGGAAAGAAAAGCAGCAGGUUAAUACCCCGCUGUUCUGACGGUACCCAAAGAAUAAGCACCGGCUAACUUCGUG
rnacentral:rRNA from 1 species